rnacentral:lncRNA from 1 species
AGAAAAUGACUGGGCAUAAGAAAGCGAAGAACAAAAAUCCUUUGAUAUACAACAUUAUUUUUAUCUAUAGAUUGAUAGACAUCUAACUAGUAACCACUACCCACUAAUAAGAUUCUUAAAAACAAAGCCCUCCAUUCAUCAAUGAUCGUCUGCAACCCUCCAUCAAAAGUAAAAGGCCAAGAUCUAUGUGACCAUCCAAAAACUCUCUGUCAUUAGAACAUACACAGCAGCUCUGUUUCCAACUCUUAUCUUCACAAACCUCCGCCACUUAUUAUCCAUUAUGCCAGAAGUACACUGUUACCACUUAUCACCAAUACAUUUUGAAACAACCACAACAUUGAUCAAAUAGGGAUAUGUUAAUGAGACAUCGAGCUUGCUCUGAUUAGCAUAAGAAAAUUUACAUGCUCUGGGGGAACAGGGAAUUUAAGAUCAACAUGGGAGCAUGGAGUAGGUUGGGUCCAAGGGGGAACUCCAACAUGUACAGCAUGGCUUUCAAGAGGGACAUGGGACAGAAAUCCAAAUACCCAAUAUUUGCAAGUCUGAAAAUGAUUGAUAUUUUAUUCAAUGGUUCUUAUUUCUAGUGUUUGCACACGAUAGUAUGCAACACCUUAUUACUAGAGUACAUGUAACCAACGUUUGAUCAACAACAACCACAGGAAGAGAGUUGGAAGUUGACAGGGGCCAUGUUGCACAUGUAUGGCAUCUGCAUCGCCAUCUUCAUCAUCUGCUGCUGCCCGAGUCCAGCACAAAUAACUUGUUGCAUGCUCUGCAUCAUCUGGCAACUGGUGCCACAGUGGCACUGAGGCAUCAUGCCUUGUAGCUGCAUGCAACAUUGCUGCUGCAGGAGCGCCAUUGGCUGCGACAUGAACAUGGCUGUGGAGCUACCCAUGCCCAACGUUUGCAUCAUGUACUGCCUACACGGAUCCAUGGUGCCCAUGGCUAAUGUUGGUGGGAAAUACUGCAUAGUGGUGAUUGCAGUAGUGGCACUUGCAGAAAGAGCAAUUAAGGCAAACAGGGCAAAGAUCUUGCUGGUGUAUGCUGCCAUUGCUGAUUCUACAAUACUAGUGUUAAACAAGAUUCCAGAUGGUGUAGACAAUAUUGUUGAGGAUGAUGGAAUAAUGGUUGCCUAGGGGCCUAUUUAUACAUGCUGGUAGCUGUGUAAGCCAGGAAAGAGUUUGGCCUUUGCAAAACCACCUAGUGGAGGCCACAUAAGCUGGAAAUCAUGAGGCAUGGAAUUUAUUUGGACAUUUAUUCAACCAAUACUUUUGGAAUAUCUACACAAAGAUAAUUCUGCCAGUGCUUUAAUGCGUGGAAAGAAAAUAUGAUGAUAAGGUUGUGCCAGAUUGCUUUGGCAUUUUGCAGUUUUGUAAAUUAUGAGCUGGACAAAGAAACUUUUGUGAACAGAAUUCGUAUGGGACUUGUAGAAUGUGUUACACAAGUCACAGCUUACACAGAUAACAAUUAAGAGUUUGAGUCAUCGCCAUAUGUGAAUGAUUGAGUAGGUAAACUUGGAGCUUUGUAAAUGUGCCUUAAUAGCAUACAUACAUAUGCAGUUUGGCAUGUAUUUGGAGUUUUGUUAAUAAGAAUUGGAAGUAAAGAACAUUGUUGUAAAGGGAAAGAAGUAAAGGAGAAACAAAUUUUGGGUCCAUCCCAAAAAAUAAAGCAAAGAUUAGAGUUUGGCCAUACUCUUUGCUAUCCUACUUUCCACAUAUCUAGUUCUUUAUCUUACAAAUAAAGAGAAACGAGGAAGUAAACAUAUUUCAUGUAAUCAUAUUAUGACAAGACACAUUUCUUAGGCAGGCACUACUGACACCAUGCAAGUAUGAAGUUGCAUUAUUUUCAAUUUUAACUGAUAUUAUAAUUAUCCAGUGCAGCGAUCACUGCAGGGUGAAUUGGGAUGGAGAACUAUGCAAUGUCCAUGUUCAGAAUCUUCAUGUUUUUAGUACUAGAGUAGUAGAGAUGUACCAAACGUGAUGUAUAGAUCUCAAAAUUUCCAUCCUGGAUUGAAGAAAGAUUCGACCCCAUUCCGAAGCCAUACAACAACUCACAAAUUGCAAUUGAGUUCAAUGUGGUCUGCCGGUCUAGAUGACUAGAUUGUGAUAAAUCUAGGGUUAAGGCUUCAUAGAAGAUAGAACUGAUUCAUAUGCUCAUGUGUAUGAGUAUUGUUCAUCGCUUGAGUAGAUAAGUUCAAGGACAAAUGAUUUUCACUGAACUUGGAUGGAGAAAACUGUUGCACAAGGUAAGAUCAAUAUAUUGCUGAAAUAGAAAAUAUCUAUCUGACAUGCUGCCAGGUACCAAUGUGCUAUGAAUAAACCAUCCUAGCUACUUAUCUUGCUAACAUAUUAUAUCACGAAUACCUUCAAUGUGAUCUCCCCUCAGCUAGAAUGAAGUUUUCUUUCACUGUCACGAAGUUACUCUACUAAUGAGAUGUAUAUGGUUGGCAAUUUGGCAUGCAUUUUCCAGUUUCACAACAACAUGUUCAUCAUAAUAUCAAGUGGCAUUAGUUAGAUCACUUUAUAUUUGCUGCAUUUGCCUCAUAAAAAUUGUAUUCCCAGAUCGUGAUCCCGUCUAGCUCUGAAAACGAGCUAACCGCUCAUCUGAACUUACUUGAUACUCGGAGGUAGACAUAAACCAAUCAGAUUCAAUUCGAGCAACCUAGUUCAGAAAACAGAGCAUCCAAACCAGAACGAGCAACGCGAUUUCAUGUUCUCCAACAAACGGUCACACGCGGAACCAAUCUCGUGCCAAUCCAACCGAGUUGAGCAAAAUCCACUGAAAUUGCACUGACUAAACCCCAUCUCACAAGCCAAAAACACACAGAGAACCGGCAGCAUCAGGGAUUCAAGCACCUCCUUCCGCUGACGACGCGACGAAUCUCUGUCCAGACCGUUCACUACAAGCAGAUCUAGCACGUUCGUGAUACGGAUCUCGCGGCGCAAGGGGAGAUGGAGGGGGGGGGGGGAGAGGGAGUAUACAGCGGGGUGGCCGAGUAGUAGACGACGUGGGGGCCGAAGGUGAGGGCGGCGCAGUUGAGGAAGUGGAACACCGUCAUCUCGUCCCCGCCGCCGCCGCCGCCGUCGUCGUCGUCUCCGGCGUCUGAGCAAGCAACGGCGAGGUCGGAUCGCCCGAGGUGCGCGACGACUUGGGCUGGACUGCUUGAGUGAUCGAGUCGCACCCCAUCGAGGCUAAGUAAAAGUAUCUCGGGCCACGUGGAUCAGUUAAUGGGCUUCGCAUAAUCACUCAUGGGCUUGGAGCGGGAGGAUGAUGGCCCAUAAAACAACAUCCCGCAAGUCGGUGACAGUACACCAUCCCGGCCCAACUAACAGGCCACUGUUAGUCGGUUAGGCUUAGGCAGCAACGUUGUUUGAUCCAGUGAUGGGUCACACUCCCACGUGGGAAUACAAGUGUAAAUAUUGAACAUAAAUCGAAACUUUAUUUCAUGAUUCUUAUUCUAGCCAGUCGCACACGAUAGUAUGCAACAAUUUACUGUUGGAGUACAUGUAACCAAGGUUUGGUUAACAACAACCAUAGGGAGAGAGCUGGAAGUAGGCAGGGGCCAUGCUACACAUGUUUGGAAGUUGCAUCGCCAU